CCUACGGGAGGCAGCAGCAAGGAAUUUUCGGCAAUGGGGGCAACCCUGACCGAGCAACGCCGCGUGCAGGAUGACGGCCUUCGGGUUGUAAACUGCUUUUGGGGGGGAUGAUGAUGACAGUACCCCCCGAAUAAGCCCCGGCUAACUCUGUGCCAGCAGCCGCGGUAAGACAGAGGGGGCAAGCGUUGUCCGGACUUACUGGGCGUAAAGCGUCCGCAGGCGGUACGGCAAGUAGCACGUGAAAGCGCCGGGCUUAACCCCGGCGAGGCCGAGCUAAACUGUCGCACUCGAGGCGUGCAGAGGUCGGUGGAAUUGCCGGUGUAGUGGUGAAAUGCGUAGAGAUCGGCAGGAACACCAAUGGAGAAGUCAGCCGACUGGGCACGACCUGACGCUCAUGGACGACAGCGUGGGGAGCGAACUGGAUUAGAUACCCAGGUAGUCCACGCCGUAAACGAUGGAUGCUCGGUCGGUUUCGGUCGGGCCGGACGUAAGGUCGGCGUGGGCGGCCGUCACGCGUACCGGACCGGUAACGGCGACUCCCGCCCGUCGGGACGUACGACGCGCGAGACGUUAAACCUUACCGUAAAGUAGUAAGUUAGACGGCGUUGAGACGUUGCCGACGGACGACCGACGAGGGGAGGAGG
rnacentral:rRNA from 1 species